rnacentral:rRNA from 2 species
GGACUACCCGGGUAUCUAAUCCUGUUUGCUCCCCACGCUUUCGUGCCUGAGCGUCAGUAUUGGCCCAGGGGGCUGCCUUCGCCAUCGGUGUUCCUCCGCAUCUCUACGCAUUUCACUGCUACACGCGGAAUUCCACCCCCCUCUGCCAUACUCCAGCAAGCCAGUUUCCAAUGCCAUUCCCAGGUUGAGCCCGGGGCUUUCACAUCAGACUUAACUCACCGCCUGCGCACGCUUUACGCCCAGUAAUUCCGAUUAACGCUCGCACCCUACGUAUUACCGCGGCUGCUGGCAC